AUUGAACGCUGGCGGCAUGCUUUACACAUGCAAGUCGGACGGCAGCACAGAGAAGCUUGCUUCUUGGGUGGCGAGUGGCGAACGGGUGAGUAACAUAUCGGAACGUACCGGGCAGUGGGGGAUAACUAAUCGAAAGAUUAGCUAAUACCGCAUAUUUUCUGAGGAAGAAAGCAGGGGACCAUUUGGCCUUGCGCUGUUUGAGCGGCCGAUAUCUGAUUAGCUAGUUGGUGGGGUAAAGGCCUACCAAGGCGACGAUCAGUAGCGGGUCUGAGAGGAUGAUCCGCCACACUGGGACUGAGACACGGCCCAGACUCCUACGGGAGGCAGCAGUGGGGAAUUUUGGACAAUGGGCGCAAGCCUGAUCCAGCCAUGCCGCGUGUCUGAAGAAGGCCUUUCGGGUUGUAAAGGACUUUUGUCCAGGGAAGAAAAGGGCGGGGUUAAUACCCCUGUCUGAUGACGUACCUGAAGAAUAAG
rnacentral:rRNA from 1 species